UUUUUUUUUUUUUUUUUUUUUUUUCAUGCGCUAAACCAAAGCGACAACUCUAUAGCAUUUUUCAUUGAUAAGGACUUCACAAUGCACAACCACCUCUCCGUCAUAAUUAAAAAAAUAUAUAUAAUGUCAAGCUUCCUUAACUUCACAUUUGAUGGGUGUGGUUCAUGACCCCCUGCAUGCAAGGGAUUAGCAAGUAAUGACCCUACAACCUAGGACGAUUUUUGGAGAUGAUACUGAAAAAUAAUUCGAUGUCAAGGUAAAAAUAGUGGAACGUGCAAAAAGGAUAUGACUGGUCUGCAGAAUCAGCCAGGAAUGUGAUCCCAAGAGAAAGACUGCACAGCAUUUUCAAUCAGGCACAUGAUUUUGGACCAGAAGACCGUUGAGAAGGGGGUGCUCCAUAUCCGUAUUCCUAGUGAACGUUCUUUUAUCU
rnacentral:misc_RNA from 1 species